rnacentral:rRNA from 1 species
UACGUAGGGUGCAAGCGUUGUCCGGAUUUAUUGGGCGUGAAGAGCUCGUAGGCGGUCUGUCGCGUCGGAUGUGAAAACCCAGGGCUCAACCCUGGGCCUGCAUUCGAUACGGGCAGACUAGAGUGUGGCAGGGGAGACUGGAAUUCCUGGUGUAGCGGUGAAAUGCGCAGAUAUCAGGAGGAACACCGGUGGCGAAGGCGGGUCUCUGGGCCAAUACUGACGCUGAGGAGCGAAAGCGUGGGGAGCGAACAGG